UCACCUGAAACCACAUAAUCCUUAAAUUCCAAAACUUAAAAAUGUAUUCAUUUCCUUCAGCUGAUGUUAUUCACAGGUGAGGAAGAGGAGAAACUGCAUCUCAGCAAAAACCUGGAUUUUCAGAGUUAGGGCCCUUCCUACAUAAUAUGACAUAAAAGCUGUCAUUUGAAAGGUCAGUGACAUUUAAGGGUGGACUUUUGUCAAAAGCACUUAUUUCAAGCCCAGAUUUGACAGCAGCCUGUGCAGGCUUGCUCAUCCAUUGAUUUCCAAGUCCUGCCACAUUGCUGGGGAUGCAGCUCUCUGCACAGAGCAAAGCCAGAAGUUCCAGUGGUUAUAGAAGACAGAGCCUGUUCCAUCAUCCGCAGAAGUAGCAACAGAGCUGGAGGCUAGAGCGACAUCUUCCUACACAGGUUGGGCAGCUCUGCUUUGAAGAGUGAACGCGAGGGCCAGCUAUGGGUGCCCAUCCUUCAGUUAACCUCACCUGGGUCACAGAAACCAGCUGAAUAUUUGCCUUGAUUUCCAAAGCCAUGGAGAACAAUGACAGCAUCCUCACUUCCUCUUUCCAAGGUGCUCCACGUGAUGGCUCCCUCUCACCCUACAGGCCUCGGUACUGAUGAGCCACUAACCAUCAAAAAUAGCUAGAUAAGGAGCUGGCACUGUUCUCUAAUUUCCAGAAACAUCUCCAAACUUCAAGAAACUUUUGUACAAUGUGCUUAAUCACCCAAUUUAGGGAAAAGGAAGAGAUACAGGUAGAAUUUAAGUUGGGCCUAGCUGGUAGGGUAGACAACACUUUUUAAAAAAAAUUAUCAUACAGU